GAUAAUUUUACUUGGCUUGCUUAUUAGCACUCCAGGUGUUUUCGGAAGUGUUGGGUUUGAUUUCAUCACGGGACCUGAGAAUUGCAUCGGAAACGAAUUUUUCAAUUCUGCUGCACGACUAUGUAUCGAAUGCGGUGAAAACACUACAACUACCGAUCACGUAUCUUGCUCAUGUGCGGUUGGCUUUAAAACAAUCGCAGAUGUUGGAUCUGGUCCCUAUUCGACUAGAGAUGGAGUUCAAGUGUUGGCGUGUCAGGCAUGCCCUGCUGGAAUGGCUGUUUCUCCCGAUGGAUGGGAUUGUGUAACUUGCGGAGAUGGAACAAGUCGCGAACCUACAACUGGUAAGUGUGUGCCAUGUGCCGAUGAGCGUGUAUUGAACUCCCGCGACGAAUUCGGAGGGCUGGUCGACCCUUCCUCGUGCCAAGAGUGCGCUGAUAAUUUUGGACCAACAGAAGAAG